ensembl:lncRNA
GCCAGCACUGGAGCUGGGUAGUCCAUGCUGUCCCUCUCCUUCGCCCUCCCCUCAUCUCUCCCCUUCUUACUACCGUAGCUCCAUUCCUCACCUGGUUCCUUACCUUGCUGCCCAUAACGACAGCGGAGAAGAAAUUAGGGUGGACAGAGAGAAGAUCCUGAGAGCGCUCCUGAUGACAGAGCUCUGAGACCUCGACCCGUCAGACGGAAGCUAAGAAGUCCCAAAGUCACUGGUGUCAGUCAGCAUUUGUAUACUUGCAUUGCACAUUUAGCAGUUAUAAAUCUAUAUUUGCAUAAAGGCGGUUGUUAUAUUUGCUUAACUGUUAUUUUAGAAAGAAGGCUCUUUGUAAUAACUGAACUGAACCUGUACAAAAAAGUGAAAUGGAAACAAGUGGAUUCACUCACAUGCAUUACAGACGAGCUACAGACUGUAUUCCUGGUGCUGCCUGCAUGAUUAAUGUUUCCCUAAACGAUUAUCGGAUUUUGCUUUGGACUUCUGUUUAUGUGUGAGUUCAUCCUCAUUGUCUUCAUCGCCGUGUCCGUGCUGAUGCCUAAACUGUGUUUCAGACAGCGACUGUUGAAGCUUUGAUCUCCAUGUAAAAAGCACCCCUGAAAUGAAAGUCACUCACUUUCAAAUCAGUUUGUUCAAAAUGUAAAUACUCAUUGAUAUCCUGAGAACAGAGCAGGCGUUGUAAAUGCUUACCUCAGUACUGUAAUUCCUAUAUCAGAUAUCCAUUUUUUUACACGCAAAAAAACAUCAGCAGCGUCUGUGGUUUUAAAGAAAAUCCUGAACAGUGUGAGUUGAAAGUGAAAACUGAAUAUAUCGACACCUCAGUCUCCGUGUGCCCACCAGGAGGCGCCAAAGCUCCUGUGGCAGCAGCCUUGAUCUUGUGUUACAGGUGUUCAUGAAAAACCUCUCUUGCGUCCCUUUGCUGUGUUUUUAACAUGCAGCUCAAAACCAAAUCUGGCCUCAGAGGUCAGACCCUUGGAAAUAUUUAAUUACUGCGCAAAAAACAAAAACUUCACUUCAGCCCUUCUUUGUCACAAUCCGAGGCAGCACAUGAUCUGCACCUGUACUGUAUGUUGCUGAUUGAGUUUUCCUACCUUGGACUGGAUCUCAAUAAAGGCCACAUCAUCGGUUUGAC